UAAAAGUUUGGUUCUGGCUUUUCACUUUGGCUGUGAUUGUUUUAAAUACAUGAAAUUUUUGAGAGGAGUGAGGCAGGGUUAGCCAUGAAGUUUGGAUAGAGUCCUUAUUUCAUGCCAACCUCUGAUAUUAUCUUAUUUAUGAUAUCAAGAGAUCUUCCACUUCAUCAGUAUUGGAGAUUAAGAAAUAUAAGAAAUUAUGAUUUAGAAACUAAUCAAGAAAGUUUGGAAAAAUUUGUGCCAGCCUCCGCGGUUAGACAAAUGAACUGAGUUAAAGUGAGCGGUAAAAAAGAUGGUUAAUUUAAACUAAAUAGACAGAUUUAAUUGGCCCUAUGGGUUAAAUCAGAAGAGCUAAUUUUUAACCUACUUCUGUCUAAUAGAUGACGCCAUGAAAACUCCUACUAAAACCGGGAUUAGAUACCCCGUUAUUCGAGAAAUAAAUACUUAAGUAAAUACAUAAUACCCGAGUAUUACGAGCGUCCCUUAAAACUCAAAGAACUUGGCGGUGCUUUAAACCCAGCCAGGGGAACCUGCCCCGUAAUCGAUAUUCCACGUAGGACCUGACUUUUUUUUGCAAAUCAGUCUGUAUACCGUCGUCGUCAGGUAACUUUUAAGAAAAAAGAAGUUAGCAAAAAGAAAAAGUUUUUCUUUAUGUCAGAUCAAGGUGCAGCUAAUAAAAAAGAGGAGGUGGGUUACUGUAAAAAAUUUUUUAUGGAUGUCUUUUUGAAAUAGAAGACUGAAAAAGGACUUGGGAGUAAAUUUAAGAAAGAGUGCUAAAUUGAACCAGGAUUUAAAGCGUGCACAUAUCGCCCGUCGCUCUCGUUGAAAAAUGAGAUAAGUCGUAACAUAGCAAGGGUACCGGAAGGUGUUCUUAAAAACAU
rnacentral:ncRNA from 1 species